UGUGAGCUCGAUGAGUAGGGCGGGACACGUGGUAUCCUGUCUGAAUAUGGGGGGACCAUCCUCCAAGGCUAAAUACUCCUGACUGACCGAUAGUGAACCAGUACCGUGAGGGAAAGGCGAAAAGAACCCCGGCGAGGGGAGUGAAAAAGAACCUGAAACCGUGUACGUACAAGCAGUGGGAGCACGCUUAGGCGUGUGACUGCGUACCUUUUGUAUAAUGGGUCAGCGACUUAUAUUCUGUAGCAAGGUUAACCGAAUAGGGGAGCCGAAGGGAAACCGAGUCUUAACUGGGCGUUAAGUUGCAGGGUAUAGACCCGAAACCCGGUGAUCUAGCCAUGGGCAGGUUGAAGGUUGGGUAACACUAACUGGAGGACCGAACCGACUAAUGUUGAAAAAUUAGCGGAUGACUUGUGGCUGGGGGUGAAAGGCCAAUCAAACCGGGAGAUAGCUGGUUCUCCCCGAAAGCUAUUUAGGUAGCGCCUCGUGAAUUCAUCUCCGGGGGUAGAGCACUGUUUCGGCAAGGGGGUCAUCCCGACUUACCAACCCGAUGCAAACUGCGAAUACCGGAGAAUGUUAUCACGGGAGACACACGGCGGGUGCUAACGUCCGUCGUGAAGAGGGAAACAACCCAGACCGCCAGCUAAGGUCCCAAAGUCAUGGUUAAGUGGGAAACGAUGUGGGAAGGCCCAGACAGCCAGGAUGUUGGCUUAGAAGCAGCCAUCAUUUAAAGAAAGCGUAAUAGCUCACUGGUCGAGUCGGCCUGCGCGGAAGAUGUAACGGGGCUAAACCAUGCACCGAAGCUGCGGCAGCGACGCU
rnacentral:rRNA from 1 species